UGACUUGAGUGUUUUCAGUGUUGAGGA
rnacentral:piRNA from 1 species